AAAGCCUGAUGGAGCAACGCCGCGUGAGUGAAGAAGGAUUUCGGUUCGUAAAACUCUGUUGUAAGGGAAGAACAAGUACAGUAGUAACUGGCUGUACCUUGACGGUACCUUAUUAGAAAGCCACGGCUAACUACGUGCCAGCAGCCGCGGUAAUACGUAGGUGGCAAGCGUUGUCCGGAUUUACUGGGCGUAAAGGGAGCGUAGGCGGAUACUUAAGUGGGAUGUGAAAUACCUGGGCUUAACUUGGGUGCUGCAUUCCAAACUGGGUGUCUAGAGUGUUGGAGAGGAAAGUGGAAUUCCUAGUGUAGCGGUGAAAUGCGUAGAGAUUAGGAAGAACACCAGUGGCGAAGGCGACUUUCUGGACAAUAACUGACGCUGAGGCUCGAAAGCGUGGGGAGCAAACA
rnacentral:rRNA from 1 species